rnacentral:tRNA from 1 species
CGGGGUGUAGCACAGUUGGCUAGCGCGCCACGUUUGGGACGUGGAGGUCCCAGGUUCGAGUCCUGGUACCCCGACCA